GCUGGCGAGGGGGAGCGCGCGGAGCCCGGGAAGGAAGCGCGGCCGGCGCUGGGGGCAGGCUCUGCCCUCUUUGGCAGCACUGACCUCACUGGGGCUGGGUCCACUCCAGGACGGCUCAUCUUGGCCACAGCACACAUGGUGGAUCCUCUGUCCCUGCCUCUUGGGCCCGGCGCCCCAUGCCGUCACCCGCUGCCCCCGGAAUUACUUAGCCAAAGCCCAGGACUUCCGUUUGCCCUGCUGCUCUGGUUCUGCCACUUCCUCCAGCUGCAGACUGGACUGCCACCUGCCUACAGCUGACCAGCAUCUAAAAGUCACGCCCAGAAAUCCCCAGAAUCUGGCCAUUCUCAAGGGCACCCUGGCCUCCCACCUCUCACUCCCAGAGCACCACCCUGGAGAAUAGGUGACUCCCUCUCCCAUUAUUCACUACAUCCUGCCCAUUCUUUCCCCACAAGGAUCUCACAUCCGCCCCUUCCUCUGCCCUGUGUCCGCUGGUCUUCAGCUGGCCACCACUCCCCUAGACACACCUCCCCCUGACUCAUCCCUGCCACCUCACAACCUGUUGUUAAACCGGCAGGGAACUCUAAGGUCAUCAAAUCCAACGUCCACUCUGCUUGAAUACUUACAGGAACGGGGUGCUCACAACCUGUACACUGGGGAGCAGCUUCAGCUGUUGGAAACUUCCCAUCCUGCCUGGGCCCUUGGAGCCAAGCAGAAAAAGUCACCUCCCUUUCCUCCUGAUAGCUCCUUAGAAAUGGGAGGCUCUGAGGACAGACAGAUCUGGUUUAAGUCCUGGCCUUGCCUUGGAUGUCCGCUCCAGGAGGUCCUGGGCCUAGAAGUGGGCCCUGCACAGCAGACGCUACAAGCUCAUUUGGUGAACGAAUGAAUGACAUCAUCUCCUUUAAAAAGCUAGUCCUGGGACACCUGGGUGGCUCAGUUGGUUGGGCGUCCGACAUCAGCUCAGGUCAUGAUCUCACAGCUCGUGAGUUCGAGCCCCACGUCGGGCUCUGUGCCAACAACUCAGAGCCUGGAGCCUGCUUCGGAUUCUGUGUCUCCCUCUCUCUCUGCCCCUCCCCUGCUCAUGCUCUGUCUCUCUCUGUCUCAGAAAUAAAUAAAAACAUCAAAAAAAUU